AGCAGCCGCGGUAAUUCCAGCUCCAAUAGCGUAUAUUAAAGUUGUUGCAGUUAAAAAGCUCGUAGUUGAAUUUCGGGAUCAAUAUGCUGGUCGUGCCUCGGUACGUACUAGCAUAUUGGUUUAUCCCUUCUGAAGAACCAUGAUGUAAUUUAUUUGGUGUCGUGGGGAAUCAGGACUGUUACUUUGAAAAAUUAGAGUGUUUAAAGCAGGCUCACGCUUGAAUACAUUAGCAUGGAAUAAUGAAAUAGGACGUUUGAUUCUAUUUUGUUGGUUUCUAGGAUCGACGUAAUGAUUAAUAGGGAUAGUUGGGGGCAUUAGUAUUCAAUUGUCAGAGGUGAAAUUCUUGGAUUUAUUGAAGACUAACUACUGCGAAAGCAUUUGCCAAGGAUGUUUUCAUUAAUCAAGAACGAAAGUUAGGGGAUCGAAGACGAUCAGAUACCGUCGUAGUCUUAACCAUAAACUAUGCCGACUAGGGAUCGGAUGAUGUUAAUUUUUAAUGUACUCAUUCGGCUACCG
rnacentral:misc_RNA from 1 species